CGGUGAAUACGUUCCCGGACCUUGUACACACCGCCCGUCAAGCCAUGGAAGCUGGGUGUACCUAAAGUCGAUAACCGCAAGGAGUCGCCUAGGGUAAACUAGUAACUGGGCU
rnacentral:rRNA from 1 species